GCCGAGAUAGCUCAGUUGAUAGAGUGGUGUGCCAGAAAUGGAAUAAAACACACAGGUCGGUGGUUUGAGUCCACCUCUCGGCA
rnacentral:tRNA from 1 species